CUUCAAACCAUAACAAGUCCAAACUGAAAACUUUAGUCUAAAGAUUUCAUUUUGGACUUGUUAUGGUUUGAAG